UUGGUACAACAUUAUACAUAUAUAAUGUCAUAUUAUGAGUGUUUCUUUAAUGUAUAUAUUAUAUAAAUGCUUGCAAAUAGUGCGCUUUUCUUGUGGCUAUGUCCUAUAUGUCAUGCUUUCCGCCAUAAUCGUGAUACCAAGAAGUUGGACGCAAACGUGUCGCUGGAAAAUCGUCAAUGGGCGGAUCGCCGGUGCACUUUCGUCGUCCGCGGACGGAUGCGAUUGGCCCCCGCGGGCAACGCGACGCUUCCACGACGUUUCCGCCGCCGACGAGAUCAGUCGCAACGCGUUCGGCGUUACGUCCGGUCGAUCGUUUUCAGUGUGAGUGCGUGUGCGAGAGUAUAGACGAUGACGGUUGAAGAUUAUCGUUUCCGCGUUAUCAUGGCCGCAGACGAGAUUGAUCCGCCAUUAGUUGUUUAGUAGUAUUUUAUAGUUUUCUAAAAAGCAGAAGGGUUUGAUUUCGUAACACGGAUGGAAAAUACCCACCGUCUAUACUGCCGCCACACCGCCAGCUCGUAUAAUAGCUACCGAAGAAUGACGUAGUUUUCGUGGAGAAGAUUGAUUGACUGUCGAUCGAGCACAAACUUAUAUAGUGCAUACAGGUAUAUACUGGAUAAUAUAUAAUAAUAUAUGGACUACAGUACUGCAUCAUCGCAUUGACGAGUGCCAAUAUAAUAUUAUGAUAUGAGGUGUCAAAGUACAGGCACCGCCGCGACCGGUCUACGACUUUAUCAACCACCACCAUGGGUGACUACGACGCGACACCGUCGACUCUCCUCUCCACGCCGCAAAGGCUAGGUGGCACGGGAAGACAAAUCGCGCUGGACAAGUACCGGACGGGGUCGCUCUCUUACGCCGAUCGUCGAACGGCCUACACCAGCACGAAAACGGACACCGGUCGUUACCCGAACCAUCAUCCAGCCAGGACACCGUCGUUUCUUUUCGUGUCUUACAUCAUUUUUUGCAUAACAAAUACAGACAUAUCGGUCAUACGGACCACAACCAGUGUACUAUCUUUCUUUUUACGUCGAGUGCCACCCAAACCGUCCGUGACUCUCGAGAUCGCCGACCGGCUCACCGCGAUCACCAUCACCGCCGUAGCCGCGUCAGAGGGUGUAACAGAAAGAACUGACUACCCAAUGCAAUAACUUUUUUACAAUCAAUAUUUUGAAUUUUUUUUUCAUAUAUAAUUUAUAGUCACUUGCGGUGCAUUAUGUAUAAUAUAAAAAAAAUAUUUUUAUUUUUUUAAUACUAAAUAAUAUAAAAGCAUUUAAAUUAAACUAAAUUUUUUUUUGGAUGAGUUCAAAAUAGCCAGUUUUGUGAAUCUGAUCAUAAGAACAAUUUUGAUGGGGAAACAUUUUUGAAAUUUGCUGACACGAGUACCUGCAUUGUUGUGUGCGGGAUUUCUAAAGGUUCCAAAAGCCACACGUCUUGGUGACAAAAUGACACAAUAGUCCCAAGUGAACUAAAGAAUAAUGUUUAUUCAGCAGAAAAUAUGAUAAUUGAGGAUUCUGACAGUAAUAUGAGUAAAGUGGUCGAACAAAAGGAAAAAUUAAAAAGCUGAGAUAAAACUAGCCAAGCCCGAGUUACCAAUCAGUAGCGUCGUCAAUGAUUCUAGAGUGUAAGAUAAUGAUAAAACAGAUGUAAAUUAUAAAACCAAAUUAAAAUAUUUCGUUCAAGUGCCUAAACCAACUAGACGUAUCAUUGAAGUAUCUUCCCCUGCAGUUGUUGGAACUACUCCAACUGCAGUGGCACCGUUUCCACCAAUGUAGAAUUUGUGUACAUAGUUCAUAUUAUUAAGAUCAAAAAUGUAUGUUUAAAAAUGUAUGUUAAAUCCUGAUCACUUUAUUUUACAAUAUAUUGAAUUAUUUAUUCAAGGCGAUAUAGUGCUAUACUGUACAGUUUUAUUAUUAUUCUUUUUAGCUAUUGUAUAAUUUAUUUUUAAUUUUAAAUAAUUUUUUUUGAUGAACACGUGAUUUCAAAUUAAAAAAAGUCUGUGGCCUUAUUAUUUUUAAAUUUAUUUUAGACCUUUUUCGAGACAAGACAGUCAACUUCAUGAACACAUCAUACCUAUACGAUUUUAAGUAGAAGAUAAACCCAAAACCAAAGCCAGUUUCAUCUGUCUCUAAGUCCCAACUCCCAGGACCAAUUUAUUGCACUAAUUCGAAGUUCGGUGGACGAAGUGAGAAAUAAUAUGUUAUAUAAUAUAUACCCGUAAUUCUUGAAAACAAUAUGCGUUGUCCUACAAUCAAUCACUUCCCAUCUCUGCGACCACACUGAAAUAAACACCGACGGCUCCAAAACGGAUAACGGAGUUGGUGCUUCAGUAGUAUUUAAAGACCACGUAUCAAUGCUCAGACUCCCCAAUUUCUGCUCAAUAUAUUCAGCGGAGGUAACGGCAAUUUAUUACGCCCUAGACCUCAUCAAAACAAGACGCAUACUCAAAGCAGCUAUACUAAGCUACUCGCUAAGUUCUCUAAGGAGCAUCGAAAACCCCUCCACGCCGAAUGAAUUCAUUUCUUCCGCUGGUGAUACAAUAUUGAAAGAACAAGAAGAUCUUUAGAGUCAAUCCGAGGUUUGGCAUCUAAUUCAUAUUUCAUUAUCUCACCAUGUCGAGUAGAUAACUGUAUGUACGAUGACUUGUUGAGUAUUUCUAAUGUUGCUUAUUUCCCUGAAUUCAUAACAAGUUCAGUUAUUAUGGUGCAGCACGUCCAACUACAAAUAUCUGAUGUGGGUUAAUAACAUAUGAAUAUGACUUCAAAUUUGUUAACGAAUUGGUUAGUUAAACCUACCAUAAAAUCGACCACUACCACUUCGAAUUCCGAAUUGACUUGUAAAAAUGAAACCACUUUAACAUGCCACCUUUAACAUUAUGGGAUCCAAGACCUGCAACUUUGUUAUGGAUAAACUCAUCAAACCGAUAGUUAAAAGAAACUUCCAAAGCACGAGAACAAGAUUGGUUUAAAGGCAUUUUUGAUCAAUCGUUGAAUCCUCGGGUCUUACAAAACGAUGUCCUAGAAUUUUCAUUAUUUAGAUAUUUGAAUUGUAUUGUACUAUUGUAA